rnacentral:rRNA from 1 species
UACAGGGGGGGGCAAGCGUUGUUCGGAAUUACUGGGCGUAAAGGGCUCGUAGGCGGCCAACUAAGUCACACGUGAAAUCCCCAGGCUUAACCUGGGAACUGCGUGUGAUACUGGAUGGCUUGAAUCCGGGAGAGGGAUGCAGAAUUCCAGGUGUAGCGGUGAAAUGCGUAGAUAUCUGGAGGAAUACCGGUGGCGAAGGCGGCGACCUGGUCCGGGACUGACGCUGAGGCGCGAAAGCGUGGGGAGCAAACAGG